AUAGCCAUGCCCUUGUUAUAAUUCCCUCUUCGUGUGUGGAUGGGACCUAAUGACUUGUUUCUGAUAAAUGGAAUACUACAAAAAUGAUGAGAUGUCACUUCCAUGAUUCGGUCAGAAAGGACAUCUCCAGUGGUUGCAAAUGGUGUCCCUCAGAGGAAGCAGUAUCCACCACUUAUCCACAUUGGCCAU